AAAGAGCAGAGAGGUGGUGACUUCAUUCCCCUCUUUCACAAAACCUCCCCCUUUUCCCCUCCUCCUCCUUCUCCUCUCUCUCUGUGUGUCCCUGGCUGUGUGUCAGGGUGUUUCAGCAGCAUUAUGCCUGCAGUGUUCCUACUACUCAGAACCGUCCUCUCCAGUAGACUGAUAGGAUCCCUGCUCCAGUUCCUCAGGAGGACUCUGUCCUCAACCUUCAGCCACGUGGGAGCCGCACUGAGAUACGUCUGGGACAGGAUCAGCUCUCAGGAGUCUAAAGAAGCCAUCCUGGGCUGAGUGCUGUGUCUCCUUAACAUGCACAAGAAGGUGGAUCAGCCAGCAGCUGACUCUCACUGAGUCACUCUCUUGGCUUUCCUCUUCAGAAAGAAAGAGAGAGAGGACGAGAGAGAACAAGAACAAGAAAAAGAGAGAGAGAGAGAGGGGGGAGAGAGAGAGAGAGAGAGAGAGAGAGAGAGAGAGAGAGAGAGAGAGAGAGAGGAAGAGAGAGAGAGGAAGAGAGGGAGAUUUCUCUGGUGAGCUCUUUCUUCUCUUUUCUUUCACCCCUUGUUUAGUGUGAGAGAGAGAGAACAAGAGAAGAAGGGAGGUUUCAAAACUUGAAUAGCUUUAAUUUGGACUGUAGUAUUUCUCUUAGCAGAGUCGAGCUGCCUGAUUCAGGUGAACGAGACUGUAUUUCUCUGUGUGGACCGUAUAGUACCGCUGGGCUAACCAUGUCAGAGAGCAUCGUUAGGAAGAUACAACCCUUCACCAUCGGAACCAGGCUCUCCGUCUCUGGACCUGCCACCAGGUCUAAAGGUCCAAACUUCCCCCAGAGGCCGUCCUGGCAGAGCGACCGGGUCUCCCUCUACCUCAGCCAGGUGCAGCAGCAGGAGGGCAUAUCUACCCAGGACCACCGGAACCAGAAUACCAUGUCUGUGUCUCCCAACUCCCACCGGAGCUCUGUCUCUCCUACCGCCACAUCCAGAUCCAUCAGCAAGAUCACCAUCUCUGGGAGCCCAGAGGACAGCUCCUGGAGGAGACAGGAGGAGUCAGACCACAGGGUGGUUAUUGAGAAGGAGGACAGCUCCUGGAGGAGACAGGAGGAGUCAGACCACAGGGUGGUCAUUGAGAAGGAGGACAGCUCCUGGAGGAGACAGGAGGAGUCAGACCACAGGGUGGUCAGUAUAGGACUAGGACCGGGACGACCCCCUGUCACAGGAACUCCCGGAUCAGAAAACAUCAACAACAACAACAACAACAACAACAUCAGCAGCUCCAAGCAACAGCUGUCCAGAAUAGUGGGAGUCAGCUGUGAGAACCAACCCAGCUCACAUAUUAAGGACCAUGGCAGCAUGUUUGGGUUCCUACAGACGUUGGGGCCCAGAGCAAGGUCCCCAAGGAAAGACAGAGAUGCUGAGACAGUAGUGGUACCCCAGAAUGACAGCUACACCCAACGCACUUCACUCUUUAACCAGGAAGUACUACAGCAGGGUAGAGGGUUAAUCAGAGCCCAGCACCCCGGCAACUCUAAGAUCCAGGACUUCUUGAUUCGGCUGGAGGAGUUAUGGGAGGAGCUAAGGAGACGACAUCACAGGAACCAGUUCUACCUGCAGGCAGGGGAGGAGAUGAGCUUUAGGACAGUGCAUCUCCUCCAGGCCUUGGGUAGUAUAGAAGCUUGGUUGGAGGCAGCAGAGCUGUCCAUGUCGAACUCCCAGCUGGCAGGAGACCCAGAGACCAUGAGGCUGGCUGUGAGAGACAGCUGCCUGCUCCAGACAGAGAUAUCCUGCCGGGGAAUGGAGCUAACAGCACUCAGACAGGAGAUGGACAGGCUGGGUGGUCAGCGGGAGGGUCAGUGCCCAGGAUACCCCAACACUGAGGGCCUCCAGGUGCCACAACACCACACACAGGUCCUCCCAGAUCUUAUGGACCAGGUGGAGAGAAAGUACCAACGUGUCCAGACCGCGUUGACCCAGCAGAGUUCGUCGCUGCAGGACACCAGGAUGCUGACAGAGUUUCUGGAGCGGGUGGAGCUAGAGGAGAGGGUGGAGCUAGAGGAGACCCAGAAGGCCAGGGGUAGGGGCUACAGCAGUAACCUUGGACAGCCUCUCCACGGUGAGAUCAGCUCAGCUCUUACCCUGCUGGGUGAUGGGGGUGGAAGCGGUGGUGGGGAGCCCCUGAUGGAGCCGCUGGGAAACCCUGUAGAGGAGCUGCAGGAGGCAGUGGAGAUGUUGAAUGACACGGUCAGAGAGAGAGGACGAUCACAGAAUCACAUCCAUGAGCAAGCCAUCCAGACUAUGGUCCGACAGCUGGCUUUGCUGUCAGUGCGUGUGGAGGACAGUCUGUGCUGCAGUAGAGAGCUGAACCAGGAACUCCUACAGAGAGAGAAAGACAUGGCCAUGCGCUGUGAACCAGAACAAUGUGGACUAGAGGGACUGAAGGAACAGCAAGACCACCUAGAGGUGAAUUAUGCUGUGCUGAAGGAAGAGGUGGAGGAGCUCCAGAGACAGACUGGUUAUCUAGAGGAGCUAUGCCCAGAGAGAGUGACCUUCCUGGCGGUGGAGGUGCAGGGAGCCCUGGGGGUAUGGAGGGAAUUAAGGAGGAACGUAGAGGGGAACAGAGACCGAUUACGACAGUUUGUUCACCUGCAGGACUUCUUCAGGACCUACCUGGCCAUGAUAUCGUGGAUGGAGGACACCCGGGAGUGUAUUUUCUCUGAGAGAGUGUUGCAUUGUGGGAGGGACGACCAGGAGCCAAUGGCUGCGGAGAUGGAGAUGGACGUCCAGAUAGACAGGAAGUUGGAGGAGUUGGAGGAGCUGGAUGCUGCAGGGAGGAACCUGCUGAACGCUGAGCACCACCUGGCCAACAUGAUCCAUGAGCGUCUGGAGGAGUUGAGGUCCAUGCUGGGAUGGAUGUUGGUCCACUGGAGAGACCAGAAACACCAGAGGAGUCAACGCAGGAAUAACGAGAAUGAACCUAAUGAAGAUCUUAUCGACUCUGAGCCCCCAACAGAGCAGACUCCUGGAGAUAAUAUCUACUCAAAGACCACAGUAGAGUCCACUAGAGACAACAUCUACUCAGAGACCACAAUAGAGUCCACUAGAGACAACAUCUACUCAGAGACCACAGUAGAGUCCACUAGAGACAACAUCUACUCAGAGACCACAGUAGAGUCCACUAGAGA
ensembl:lncRNA